UGUUUAUCUUCAACUAUCUUU
rnacentral:piRNA from 1 species